rnacentral:rRNA from 1 species
UACGAAGGGGGCUAGCGUUGCUCGGAAUCACUGGGCGUAAAGGGCGCGUAGGCGGCCAUUCAAGUCAGGGGUGAAAGCCUGUGGCUCAACCACAGAAUUGCCUUUGAUACUGUUUGGCUAGAGACCGGAAGAGGUAAGUGGAACUGCGAGUGUAGGGGUGAAAUUCGUAGAUAUUCGCAAGAACACCAGUGGCGAAGGCGGCUUACUGGUCCGGUUCUGACGCUGAGGCGCGAAAGCGUGGGGAGCAAACAGG